UGAUUUGAAUACACCAGUCAGCUCUGACAGCGAGGGCGGACGCGAUUCCGGCAGCCUGCACAGUAUUUGAAAAGGAUCUCUAAGGCGAAAUGUGAUGCACUUCAGUAAAUACCACCACGUCGAGCAACUGAGCACUGAAACGAUGAAUGGGAACAUUCUGAUAUGAAGUCGAAAUUAACUUUGGAAUUGCAGCAACCCUCUGGAGACAGUACUGCCCACUGCUCAAAGCUGGCAUGAUUCAAGCUGCUACACUGUCUCAUGGAAUACAAGAGAGAUUCAUCUGUCUCCUUCAUAAUUGUAUCUAGAAUGCAGGGUCUCUUCCAGUUCCCUGCACAUAUCCUGACAUCCCUGCACUCUAAUGAGUCCCUGCUCUGGCGAUUUCAUCAUGCACAAUUAGUUUUACAUCAUUAAGACAAGAAUGUCUCAAAUGACAAAUCUGAAGGUGGAUUAAAGACGAUACUAGACCACUGCUAGGUUUUGAAAGAUUUACAUGUAUAGCAAACCAUAAAAAUCCGAAGAACAUGAAGAUGCAAAAGCAAUCUGGGUGGACUGCAAACAGAAAAAGAUGUGACUGAAAGGCACUAUAACCUUCCUCAACCCUAUAGACCUCACCAGAUGAAACAAUAUCUAGAACACUGUUGCUCUUGAUCUUUGUUUUAUUUAUUUUUAUUGUUCUGUCCCAUCCAUAGUUUUAUGUACUUUUGGUUUUAUUUCACAGUUACAUACGGUAACACACUUUAAACAGGCGAUCAGCAGUUAUAAUCUCUUUUUGCUAGAUUGAUGAUAGUUUAGCACAGCCUCAUGUGUACCAGAACUACUCUUUGAUACUCAUUUGAGAACCUAAAGGACAUUAUCCUGGACAUUUCAUGAUGACAUGAAAAUAUCUGUUCAUGGAUAUAUUUAUCCAUGUGCAGACUGUCCUAUCAUAUCCUUACUGCAUGCUGCCAGCAAUGAAUAGGCACAGGUAUCAGGGAUCUUUACAGACCUCUGAUGAAAAAACAAUGGGCAAGUGCUGCCUCCAAGGCUAAUUAAUUCAGAGAAAAAGAUUACAGGUACCAUUCCAUGGCAAUUAAGUGACAUUAAUACGCGCUGUUGGCACCCAUCCUUUUAAUGCACGAACAUUUAAGCAUGACAGAAUUUCCACUUGCUCCUGUUUUGCAAGUUUGAGAUCAUUUGUCACCUAAAAAAAUACUUUCCAAAAAAAUGAAAAGCUGUUUUGCAAGAUCUCUUACAGCAAGGGGGAUGUUACCAGCGCAAAAACAAUAUGGAUUUAACCCUUAUGACAGUCUGCCCUGGUGCAUUUGCCACAGGAUGUUAUUUUACUGUCACUAUGAAUUGUCUGGGGCUUCACUACGCUUUCACACUUACACCCUGUAGUAACAUGCUUUAGACAUUUAUCAUGGAUUAGACAUGAUUUACUCUGAAAUCAGUGGAAACCAUAGAAGGUCCACAAUCAAACAAGUAUAAAACCAUUUGAAAAGUAUGAAAAUUCUAUGGUUAAUUUCUCACAGUAAAUUAUCCAUAUAAACCUAUGUAAUGCAGCAGGAACUAAGCGCUAAGUUUAAAAAUAAUUGUAAAGCAAACAGCAAAUGACUAUUUUGAUCUAUUGAUUGAUUCGUUUCACUGGCUCUAAUUUGACAAAAUACACUGCUGAGCUACUGUCAUAGCUUAAUAUGAACUGGGUGACAAGUGUUAUUUUUCAAAUCAACCACACAUGCCCCCCACUGUCAACACAGCCUGUAAACUGCCAACAUCAAACGGCCAAAAUGCUAGCCCAUGAAGGGAACCAAAUGCUUUUAACCGAAUUUUUUAAACACAGUAUCAUCUAACUUUUUUAGUACACACAAACCAUACUAAAGCUGAUGAAGUACAUUAAUACACCAAAAGCUUUAGGGGCAAUUCUUUCCCCAGGAACACUGCAACCGAAAACCAGACUACAGUGGAGUGGAAUUUAAAAUACUGGACUGCAAGCGAUCCAUCUAGUUUCAAAAUAAGUCACUGAUUAAAUAUUUACCUCUGUAAAUGUAUCUGUGAGGACUACAUGACCCCACACUCUGCUUUUUGUCAAAGGCAAAAAAAACAUGGAAUGUAGGAGUACAUUCCGAUCCUUGCCCUUGUUCACUAGCUCCAUUUUUUACAUUUAUAUAGUAGCCGCAUUCUGCUACAUUAGAUGAAAAUGAAGAAAGCCGAACCGCUAAGAAUCAUAUUUCAGGAGAAAAUUUCCUUGCAGUUGUUCAGAGGUUUUCAGCCCAGAGGAUGUAAAGGCACUGCAGAUAAAGGGGGGACCCAGUUCAUCCACCCCUGAAGUGCAGCACCUGCUUGGGUGAGACACUGAAGCAGAUUCACUAGACAGCAGAUCAAAAGGAAAAGCGAGGAACUGCUUGAGCAAUUGAAGUUAGGGGAAAUUUAAAGAGGCCAGGUUGUUCAAUUCCCAAGUGAAAGUUAGACAGGAAACUGUCCUGAUACCUCCUACAACACAGUGUCCCCUGUCACCAUACUGGGCCAAUGAUUGGGAAAUUCCAAGGUUUUGCUGAAAGUUUAAGUGGCAGGUCAGUGAGUGCAUUUUAUUUCAAUGAGACACCCUGACAAUAUUCAUUCCAACAGAAUAGAGCUAUACUGUAUAUAGUGUAAAUUAAUUGCACUAAUAAUUAUUGAAUGAAAUUAUGACUAAAUAAUAAUAAAACGCCUUCUACCCAGAGUGCAAUGAAUAGGCUGUACUAAAUUGGAAUCGAUCUAGCAAAAAGAGGCUAUGACUGCUAAUUGCCUGUAUAAAGUGUGGUACCAAAAGCAGAUUAUAUGGAUAGGAUUGAACUUUUACUGGAAAGAAACAUCCUGUUGAGCUGAAGGUGGUCAAGCAUUAUUGCCUCUUGUUUUAGGUACCUUGAUUAUUAAAGAUGUCUGUUCAGGUGCUAUGAUUGAAUUAGCUCUCUAUUUGUUGAAAGAAAAGCAUGGACUGAAAAAGUCUAAACUGUUGCCUUUUUCCACAAAUGAAACAAUGUGCCAGCCAUAAAAGCCAUAACAUUUUUAUAGUUUUUACAGUUACUUUUUAUGUUGAAUGACAUGAAAGGUCCUUGACAGUGUGUUUUAUGCACAUGUCACAACACUGCUUUAAAGUCUAGUUUAAAUAAUCUUGCCAUUCUUGUGAAAGGAAACAUCAAGAAAAACACUGAUACAGACAGCAUAACUUGUCAAAUCCGGAUAAUGUCUGUAACAAUACAGAGGUCUGAGCAAAACAA